rnacentral:rRNA from 1 species
UACGGAGGAGGCAAGCGUUAUCCGGAAUUAUUGGGCGUAAAGCGUCCGCAGGUGGCACUUCAAGUCUGUCGUCAAAGACUGGGGGCUUAACCCUGGAAAGGCGGUGGAAAACUGAAGCGCUAGAGUGCGGUAGGGGGUAGAGGGGAAUUCCCCGGUGUAGCGGUGAAAAUGCGUAGAGAUCGGGGAAAGAAACAUCGGGUG